rnacentral:rRNA from 1 species
CGAACGGGUGAGUAACGCGUGAGGAACCUGCCUCAAAGAGGGGACAACAGUUGGAAACGACUGCUAAUACCGCAUAAGCCCACAGGUCGGCAUCGACCAGAGGGAAAAGGAGCAAUCCGCUUUGAGAUGGCCUCGCGUCCGAUUAGCUAGUUGGUGAGGUAAUGGCCCACCAAGGCAACGAUCGGUAGCCGGACUGAGAGGUUGAACGGCCACAUUGGGACUGAGACACGGCCCAG